AAAAAUUUGUAAAGAGAGACCACAGUUGUUGCAAGACAGCUCAUGGUUUCUUCAUAGUGACAAUGUGUGUGCCUGUUCAGCAGUCACAUUUCUGUCCUCCCUCAGCCACUGAUGGGCAAACCAAAAAGUGACUGAACAUCAGAGAGUAGUAGUUUGAUGGAGACAAUAGAUACACAUCAGUUUUGCCAUGAACUCCUGGGUGCCAGAAGCAAAUGCAAUUAAUCUUAUUGUUCAGUUUUAUCGUGUUGUGACAAGUCAAAUGAUGAUUUGUACCUCGCAUGAAAUGAAGAGAAACUCUCAGUAGGCAUAUUGCUAUUCAAGUGGACAGUGAUGUUGUUUCUGUCUAGUCAUGGCUACAAGAGGUUGUGUUAUUUCUCCAAACAGUUUUUAUUAUAUCUGUGGUGAAUACACUAUUAAAAGUCAACAGAGAAACAUAAGUGGUUUUCUGAGGAAAGUUUAUUUUGCUUACUUUAAAUUAAAACUUAGUGAUGAAGGUAAACCAUGGGCCCCGCAUAAGGUGUGUAGAAGACGUGAAGAAGAUCUUUAUUUGUGGUUUAAGGGUAAGAAAAAUGCAUUUCAAUUUGGAAUUCCUAUGAUAUGGUGUGAGCAGAAAAACCAUACCACUGAUUGCUACUUCUGUUCAGCUGAUGAAAAGGGAUUCAAUUCAAAAAACAAAAGAAGCAUAAGUUAUCCUAAUCUUGACUCAGCUAUACAUCCAGUGCCCCAUAGCUCUGAAAUACCUAUCCUACAGCCACCUUCCAGUUUGGAUGAAUACCCGUGUGAGUUGGAGGAUGAAGUUACGAGGCAUGUUUUUUAAGUAAGUACCGUUUUGAAAUUUAAAAAAGACGUGCUAAGAUAUCUCAAUAAUUUUAUUUUUAUAUGAAAGCCUGCACCUUAAUCUAUGCACUGACACCAUUACAGUCUGAUUCUUCCUUGUUUACAUUGUGUAUUGAAUGUUUAAGAUGCCUCCGAUAAUCAUGAGUCCCGUCGACUGUGAAGUACGGGCUGUUAUAAGAUUUCUUAGUGCUAAAGGCCUAAAAGCGAUCAAUAUUCAUUGUGAGAUCUGUGCAGUUUACAGAGAAAACAUUACGAGUGAUGCAAUGGUAAGAAAGUGGGUGAGAGCUUUUAAAGAUGGCCGCACAAAUGUGCAUCAUGAACAAUGGAGUGGGCGUCCUUCGGUCGUUAAUGAAAGUUUGUUGCAGGAAGUGGACAAUAAGGUGAGAGGAAACACACACUUUAUGAUUUCCUCCUUGCGGGAUGACUUUCCUAAUGUUUCUCAUAGUGUUUUGUAUGGCAUUGUGACAGAGCACUUGAAUUACCGAAAAUUGUGCGCACGCUGGGUACCGAAAUGUUGACUGAUGUGUACAAAAUCAAAAGUUUAGACAGUCCAUUGACUUUCCUUGAGCAGUACCACAACAACGGUGGUGAUUUCUUAAGCCAAAUUGUUACGGGCGAUGAAACAUGGGUGGCCUACGUCACACCAGAAUCAAAGCAACAGUCCAUGGAAGUUGAGCAAGGGCAUCGUUUUGCUGCAAGACAAUGCCCGUCCGCAUGUGGCGAAUCAGACCAAAGAUCUCAUCACAUCUUUUCGAUGGGAAACUCUACAUCAUCCUUCGUACAGCCCCAAUCUUGCGCCCAGUGACUACCAUCUGUUCCUGCACUUGAAGAAACACCUGGGCGGUCAGCGUCUUCAAGACGAUGAUGAAGUCAAAACAGUGGUGAUGCGGUGGUUAACAAGUCAGGUGGCAGACUUCUAUGAGGAGGGUAUUCAAAAACUGGUACAAUGUUAUGACAAGUGCCUCAAUAUUGACAGAAAUUAUGUAGAAAAGUAGAUUAAGGUACAGGCUUUUCUGUAAAAAUAAAAUUAUUGAGAUAUCUUAGCACAUCUUUUUUUAAUUUCAAAACGGUACUUACUUAAAAAACACGCCUCGUAUAUUACCUCCUCAGGGUGGAUCAAGCUCAGAUUUUUCUUCAGAUGCAGAUGAAAGGCAUCAACUAUUUUCUCAAAGUGAGGUCAAUUAUCUAGUAAGAGAUUUAGGUCUUUCAAUAGAUGCAGCCCCAAACUGUUAGGUUCCAGAUUAAAAAAUAAAAACCUUUUAUCAUCUGGCACCACAUUUUCAUGGUACUGACACUGAGAAAAAGAAUUUACCCAGUUUUUCUCAAAAUAAGGAAAUUUAGUUUUUUGCAAUGAUGUGGAAGGAGUAUAUAGAAGGUCUAUACAAGGGCGAUGUACUUGAGGACAAUAUUAUGGAAACAGAAGAGGACGUAGAUGAAGAUGGAAUGGGAGAUACGAUACUGCGUGAAGAGUUUGACAGAGCACUGAAAGACCUGAGUCGAAACAAGGCCCCCGGAGUAGACAACAUUCCAUUGGAACUACUGACGGCCUUGGGAGAACCAGUUCUGACAAAACUCUACCAUCUGGUGAGCAAGAUGUAUGAAACAGGCGAAAUACCCUCAGACUUCAAGGAGAAUAUAAUAAUUCCAAUCCCAAAGAAAGCAGGUGUUGACAGAUGUGAAAAUUACCAAACUAUCAGUUUAAUAAGUCACAGCUGCAAAAUACUAACUCGAAUUCUUUACAGACGAAUGGAAAAACUAGUAGAAGCCGACCUCGGGGAAGAUCAGUUUGGAUUCCGUAGAAAUGUUGGAACACGUGAGGCAAUACUCACCCUACGACUCAUCUUAGAGGCUAGAUUAAGGAAGGGCAAACCUACGUUUCUAGCAUUUGUAGACUUAGAGAAAGCUUUUGACAAUGUUGACUGGAAUAUUCUUUUUCAAAUUCUGAAGGUGGCAGGGGUAAAAUACAGGGAGUGAAAGGCUAUUUACAAUUUGUACAGAAACCAGAUGGCAGUUAUAAGAAUCGAGGGGCAUGAAAGGGAAGCAGUGGUUGGGAAGGGAGUGAGACAG